rnacentral:rRNA from 1 species
AACAUGGCUUUUUGAUUUUAAUUUAAGGUCUAACCUGCCCAAUGAAAAUUUUAAAUGGCCGCGGUAUUUUGACCGUGCAAAGGUAGCAUAAUCAGUAGUUUUUUAAUUGAAAGCUGGAAUGAAAGGUUUGAUGAGAAAAUUUCUGUCUCUGUUUAAAUUUUAUAUAAAUUUAUUUUUAAGUUAAAAAGCUUAAAUUAAGUUAAAAGACGAGAAGACCCUAUAGAGUUUUAUUGAAUUUUUAGAUAGGGGUUUUAGUAUUUAAAAUUUUAUCUGAAAUAUCAAUUUAAUUGGGGNGAUUGAAAAAUUAAAAUAACUUUUUUUAAAUUUUUACAUUAAUUUAUGAUUACUUGAUCCUUAAGUUAGAUUAAAAGAUAAAAUUACCUUAGGGAUAACAGCGUAAUUUUUCUAAAGAGUUCUAAUCGAAAGAAAAGAUUGCGACCUCGAUGUUGGAUUAAAAUAAAAGUUUGGUGUAGAAGCUGAAGUAUUUGGGUCUGUUCGACCUUUAAAAUUUUACUUGAUCU